rnacentral:rRNA from 1 species
UAGAGUUUGAUCCUGGCUCAGAUUGAACGCUGGCGGCAUGCCUUACACAUGCAAGUCGAACGGUAACGCGGGGCAACCUGGCGACGAGUGGCGAACGGGUGAGUAAUACAUCGGAACGUGCCCAGUAGUGGGGGAUAGCCCGGCGAAAGCCGGAUUAAUACCGCAUACGACCUACGGGUGAAAGCGGGGGAUCGCAAGACCUCGCGCUAUUGGAGCGGCCGAUGUCAGAUUAGCUAGUUGGUGGGGUAAAAGCCUACCAAGGCGACGAUCUGUAGCUGGUCUGAGAGGACGACCAGCCACACUGGGACUGAGACACGGCCCAGACUCCUACGGGAGGCAGCAGUGGGGAAUUUUGGACAAUGGGGGCAACCCUGAUCCAGCCAUGCCGCGUGCGGGAAGAAGGCCUUCGGGUUGUAAACCGCUUUUGUCGGGGAAGAAACGGUCUGCGCUAAUACCGCGGACUAAUGACGGUACCCGAAGAAUAAGCACCGGCUAACUACGUGCCAGCAGCCGCGGUAAU